GAAGCAUUCCAUGACCGUGAGGGUACCUUGCCUCUAGGGAACAGGCUCUUUGCCUUCUCCGAAAGGCCAGGGUCUUCGUCACUGUCAGAGUAAGGGGAACAAGUCCUCUGCAUCAAUGGUAACUUGUUCCACACUGAGUCUUCACCUUCUUCUACCUUUAAUCAAAUAGCAUGACCUUUAACAAUCGCGAUUCUCAAUUUCUGCAUCUCUCCCCCUUCCUUUUCUUUAGGGUUUCUUUCCCAUCUUCAGGUGUUGUUGGUAUAGUAAGCCAUGCCGACAUAUACAGCAAUAGCUAUGGAUAGAUUAAUAGAAUCCGGGGGCUCGAAAUCCAUGACAACUUCCAAGAUAGAAGCAAGUUUUGAUAGAAGCAAGAAUGGUUCUAGUUCAAAACUAGAAAGGAAAAUCAUCCAGACUAAUGUAAAGAUGGAUGAUAGCAAUGGUAAGCCCUCGAUAAUAGGAGAUAGAAAAGAUCACUGGACUCAAAUAUCUCCUGCACUAUACACAAUUCCCAAGCCAACACCCCUUCCAGAUUCUCCUUCGUCAUUUCCUCCGUCGCCCUACAUAAUUAAUCACAAGCGCCGAGGUCCACGCCUUUCUCAAAGUUUCACCGAAGAUGAUUUUGGCACUCAACAAGAAGCUCUUGAUGGAGAGAAGAUGGAUGAGAAAUUAAGAGAGACGAAGAAAGACCUCUCCAGUAAAUCUCUUGAUGACCCUUCCAUUUCCAGGGAGGCAGUUAAUUGUGUGGAAGAGGAUAAUUUGCUAUUCGCUACUGAUAACCUUGUUAAGGAUGGUGAAGUGACUGACCUCUGUGAUGGAGAGCUUCUUCACCGAGAUAUGCAUAAUGGUUUAUCUGGGCAAAAUGGUACAAUGAAGUCUGUGGCAUUCAAUUUGCGGAGAGGGGGUGAAGCUGAUGAUUUCUUUGACCCACAGGAAUCUCUGAGUGUCAGAAGUUUUGGUGAGAGUGAGAGUAAUGGUGGAUUCCAGCGCUGUUUAAGUUCCAUGACCCCAAUGGGAGAAUUUUAUGAUGCUUGGGAAGAACUAUCUUCAGAGAAUGGGCCACAGUUACCUACAAAUGAUUUUGAAAAUGAGCUACGAGAAAUAAGAUUGAGCUUAUUAACGGAAAUUGAAAAGCGAAAGCAAGUAGAAGAAGUUCUAAGUAAUAUGCAAACUCAGUGGCAGACGAUUCGUGAACGAUUAUCUCUCGUGGGAUUGAACUUCCCUUCUAAUCCUGUUGCUGGAGUGGAAUUGGACAAUGAACAGCCAGAUGAUCAGGUGGAAGAUUUGUGUCAACAAGUCCACAUCCUUCGGGUCGUAUCAGAGUCCAUUGGUAAGGGAAUAGCAAAGGCUGAGAUGGAGACAGAAAUUGAGACUCAAAUUGAGUCAAAGAACUUUGAGAUAGCUCGACUAUGGGACAGGUUGAAUUAUUAUGAAGCUGUGAAUCGAGAGAUGUCACAGAGGAACCAGGAAGCUAUAGAGACAGCACGUCGUCUUAGGCAAAUAAGGAAGAGAAGGCAGAAGAAAUUGAUAUGGGGUUCAAUUGCUGCUACAAUUACUAUAGGCUCUGCUGUCUUAGCCUGGUCUUACUUUUUUACUGGAAGAGAAUCAUCUUCUUUGGAUCAAUCUCAUAGUCGUGAGGGAGACUCUGCAUCAGAACUAUGAGUUCUCAAUUAAUAGGUUAAAGUGUGCUUAUUUAUUAUACAGGCAAAUAAGGAAGCCGGAGAUCAAUCUUA
rnacentral:misc_RNA from 1 species